rnacentral:rRNA from 1 species
UACGUAGGGGGCGAGCGUUGUUCGGAAUCACUGGGCUUAAAGCGUGUGUAGGCGGAUCGUUAAGUGUCUUGUGAAAUCCCACGGCUCACCCGUGGAACUGCUGGGCAUACUGGCGAUCUUGGGCCAACUAGGGGCAACUGGAACAAGCGGUGGAGCGGUGAAAUGCGUAGAUAUCGCUUGGAACGCCAAAGGUGAAAACAGGUUGCUGGGGUUGUGCCGACGCUGAGACACGAAAGCCAGGGGAGCAAACGGG